rnacentral:rRNA from 1 species
GACUUUAUGUCCUCUAAAGAGCCGUUCGAGACUAGGACGUUGAUAGGUUGGAUGUGGAAGCAUAGUGAUAUGUGAAGCUGACCAAUACUAAUUGCUCGUGAGGCUUGACUAUACAACACCCAAGCAGUUG